GUCUUGUAGAAAAGAAGGCCAGUGUGCAAUCCCAGCUGUAGUACCCGUGUCCUCCCUGCCCACCCCAAGUCCCACCAUGCAAACAAGAAGGCAGAGGACACCGUGGGACUGGAAGGUUAUUUAAGCCAACAUGUCACUGGAUACACUUCAUAAAGGGUUUAUCCUCUUUUAUAAGGACAAAUACACGAUUAAGAGCUGUAACAGUCACGAGCAGCGGCUGGGGGAUGGCUGGGCUGCGCCUACCCCAGCGCAGGGGCCUUUGUUGGGUGUUUUUACAGGAGAAUGGGCUCCACUAUCCCCAGGGUCCCACCUCCGGGCGGAGCUCGCCAGCCUAAAAACCUGGGAAAUCACUGCAAAACCUGCCAGCAGCAAACCAGCCCUGGGGUAGGAGGGCAAGUUCUGAAGGAGGGAGCGACCCUGCGCCAGAACAGAAGCAGCCGGCGGAUGCUGAAGAGGCAGCCAGGUCUUCAGCGGUCCCAGUUCUGCCUCUGAAAUUACCUUGGGGGGAGAGAAACGGCUUGCAAAGAGCUCCACAGAAUGCCUGACGGUAAGUAUUUAUUCAUAUGUUACAUUUAAACAUAAAUAACUGAGCAAUAAAGAGAAUAGUCUGCUCCCAACAAAAAUAUAUAAGUCAAUACACAAUAUUCAUAAAAUACAAUUAGAAUGUUAUAACAAAUACAACGAAGUGUGCAGAGGUUUGUUGUUUGUUGUUUUUUUUAAACAGAGUUGUACAGUACAUUCCCAACAUACCGAAGGAAAAUAGUGCAGUUUUAUUUUUUACAUCACUUCCUCAGGCUCUGCGAGUUGAAGGGUUUUCUCGCUCAUCGUCAAUUCUUAAAAAAACCACUUUCACCUUUCGAGUGGACAGACAGACACGGAGCCUGCGGCGCGUUUGAGACCGUUUGUCCACCCGGGAGCGGCUGCGCGGGGGCAGGCGGCUGAGCCGACCAGACCUUUUUCCCCUGCAACUCCCACCGUUGCUGUUUGAGCGCUCUGCGCUCGGGGGGGGUUUCCUUCCCAAGGGCUCCUCCGCAGCACCGUGCUCAGCACCGAGGGGGCCCGUCCGGCUGCUCCGGAGCCCAGAGCACAACCCGCUCCUCCCCGGGGGCAUCUGGCUCCACCAGCCAGGGGGGAUUUCAGUUUGUUGUUGUGGGUUUUUUUUUUUUUGUUUUUUUUUUUUUUUCAUCUCUCCCCUCAAAUUUUGAGAGACCAGCUUAAGGGAGGGCUUGGCUACUGAGCUGAGCAGCACUUGGUGUGCAUUUUUUCCUUUUUCAGACUAUCAUUUGCUAUUUUUAGUUUACUGCGAUCAUAAAGACCUAAGCACAGAUCGUCCUUCUAGAACCAAAUCUGCCUCUUUCUUGGGGCAGUAACACUCCGCUCGUAUGAACCCCAAGGCAGCACUUGCCUAGUGCAAAGAGCAAACGUGCCCGCUGCUUGGGUAAUAACAAGACCAGAGUUACUAAAACAACCACCUCCUACCAGUAUUUGAAUCUUCAAACAGAAUGAUUUUAUUCCCUACACCUCUUUUUGCUAAAAAUCUGUUUUUAAAUGUUGAUAGGAGCUGAUCUAACGAAGGCAAACUUCUCUGAGCACCUGGUCGAGUUGACUACGUCCCUGCCCGGGGCAGGGGGGUUGCACUGGGACGGGCUGACCUUCAAAGGUCCCUCCCACCCCCGCCAGCCUAGGAAAAGCACACGGAGCAGUUUUCUCUACCAGGUUCAGUGGAAAGCAAGCUGUGUAUCCCGGUCUGCUCUGAAGGAUUGAAAAAAAAAAAAUAGCAGAAAUACAAAAA